rnacentral:rRNA from 1 species
CCCCAAAUAUAUGUUAAGUGGAAAAGGAUGUGGGGUUGCUUAGACAACCAGGAUGUUGGCUUAGAAGCAGCCACCAUUGAAAGAGUGCGUAAUAGCUCACUGGUCGAGUGACCCCGCGCCGAAAAUGUACCGGGGCUAAACAUAUUACCGAAACUGUGGAUGAACCUCUUUAGAGGUUCGUGGUAGGAGAGCGUUCUAAGGGCGGUGAAGUCAGACCGGAAGGACUGGUGGAGCGCUUAGAAGUGAGAAUGCCGGUAUGAGUAGCGAAAGAAGGGUGAGAAUCCCUUCCACCGAAUAUCUAAGGUUUCCUGAGGAAGGCUCGUCCGCUCAGGGUUAGUCGGGACCUAAGCCGAGGCCGAUAGGCGUAGGCGAUGGACAACAGGUAGAGAUUCCUGUACCAGUGCUAAUUGUUUAACCGAUGGGGUGACACAGAAGGAUAGGGAAUCGCACGAAUGGAAAUGUGCGUCCAAGCAGUGAGUGUGAGAAGUAGGCAAAUCCGCUUCUCGCGAAGCAUGAGCUGUGAUGGGGAAGGAAAUUAAGUACGGAAGUUCCUGAUUUCACGCUGUCAAGAAAAGCCUCUAGGAAGAGUAGUACUGCCCGUACCGCAAACCGACACAGGUAGAUGAGGAGAGAAUCCUAAGGUGAGCGAGAGAACUCUCGUUAAGGAACUCGGCAAAAUGACCCCGUAACUUCGGGAGAAGGGGUGCUCUAUUAGGGUGCAAGCCCGAGAGAGCCGCAGUGAAUAGGCCCAGGCGACUGUUUAGCAAAAACACAGGUCUCUGCAAAACCGUAAGGUGACGUAUAGGGGCUGACGCCUGCCCGGUGCUGGAAGGUUAAGAGGAGUGCUUAGCUUCGGCGAAGGUACGAAUUGAAGCCCCAGUAAACGGCGGCCGUAACUAUAACGGUCCUAAGGUAGCGAAAUUCCUUGUCGGGUAAGUUCCGACCCGCACGAAAGGCGCAACGAUCUGGGCACUGUCUCAACGAGAGACUCGGUGAAAUUAUAGUACCUGUGAAGAUGCAGGUUACCCGCGACAGGACGGAAAGACCCCGUGGAGC